rnacentral:rRNA from 2 species
GACGAACCGAGCGAACGUUGUUCGGAAUAACUGGGCUUAAAGGGCGCGUAGGCGGGCUGUCAAGUCUGGGGUGAAAUCCCGCGGCUCAACCGCGGAACUGCCUCAGAUACUGACGGCCUCGAGGGAGGUAGGGGCGAGCGGAACGAAUGGUGGAGCGGUGAAAUGCGUUGAUAUCAUUCGGAACUCCGGUGGCGAAGGCGGCUCGCUGGACCUCUUCUGACGCUGAGGCGCGAAAGCUAGGGGAGCAAACGGG